GGCUACACGCGCGCAACAAUGGUACGGACAAUGGGAUGCAACUCCGAAAGGAGAAGCGAAUCCUCGAAACCCUAUCUCAGUUCAGAUCGAGGCUUGCAACUCAGCCUCGUGACGUCGGAAUCCCUAGUAAUCAGCUGUCAUCAUCUGCUGGUGAAUAUGUCCCUGCGCCUUGCACACACCGAAACAAUGUGCCAGGCAGCUUACAAGACUAGGCGGUGCAAAUCCG
rnacentral:rRNA from 1 species